rnacentral:rRNA from 1 species
CAAAGGUUCUCUCAGUACGGUCGGAAAUCGUACGUAGAGUGUAAAGGCAAAAGAGAGCUUGAUUGCAAGACAUACAGGUCGAGCAAGGAUGAAAAUCGGACUUAGUGAUCCGGUGGUUCUGCGUGGAAGGGCCAUCGCUCAACGGAUAAAAGCUACCCUGGGGAUAACAGGCUUAUCUCCCCCAAGAGUCCACAUCGACGGGGAGGUUUGGCACCUCGAUGUCGGCUCAUCACAUCCUGGGGCUGUAGUAGGUCCCAAGGGUUGGG